GAAGAUGUAGCUCAAUGGUAGAGUGCUUAGCUAGCAUGCAAGAGGCCCUAGGUUCCAGACCUAGCACUGCA
rnacentral:tRNA from 1 species